rfam:Medicago truncatula strain A17 chromosome 2, whole genome shotgun sequence.
AAACAGCCCCCUAUGUAUUGGAUCUUUGACAGUUUUGGCCCCCAAUGUCAAUUUUGACUUGGUCUUCGCUGAUGUGGCAAUUUAAAAUAAAUAAAUAUUUUUUUAAAAAUAUAUUUUUUUUUAAAUUUAAAAAUAAAAAAUAUACUUUUAUUAAAAAAUAUACUUUUUUAAAUAAUUAAAAAAAAAAAAAAAUACACGCGGCAUCCACGUGUGCGUUGACCGAGUCAAAAUUGGCCUUGGGGGCCAAAACUGUCAAAGGUCCAAUACAUAGGGGGCUGUUU